CCUGUCACAGUAUUGCUGGAAUCUUGUAAUACUUACAUCUAUCUGAUCUUCAAAAACUAAUCAAGCACCGUCCAAGAAUUCAUUAGAAGAUCCUCAAAGACCCUUAAAUCCCAUAGGUCUAUUUGAGAGGUAUGGUAAUCUGUUCUAUAAUUUUCGAUUCAUUCAUAUGCCUCCAACUGGCUACAAACCUUGUCUGCUGCU
rnacentral:lncRNA from 1 species